UCUAGAGCCUUUGAGGUCACUCCUGACGCUGACAUGGCUGUGAAGAGCUGGGUGCCAGGCAUUACUGCCUCCAAGGUUGCUUUGCGAGGAAUAGGUGGGGCAUCAGGAAGAAGCCAGUUGCAGGCAAGGCCUCUGCUGAUGCUGCUUUUUUCUCCUGUACCCAUCCAUGGGAGGGAGCUGUGAGAUGGCCUGGCAGAACCCGCUCUUGGACCCCACAGAAUGAGAGGCUCACCCUGCACAGGAACAUCCUGGGGCAGCAGGCUCAGCACAUUUUAAAUUUUGAGUAUGAACAAAGUAAACUUCAGGGUUAAAAAAAAACACAAAAA
rnacentral:lncRNA from 1 species